AAUUUACCAAACACGAUAAAAAAUAAUAAAAAAAAAUCUUUUUUUAUUGAAAAAAGAUAUUUUUUAAACAACUUAAUGAGACCAAACAAGCAUUAAAUUGAAAAAUACGUCAUACACAUUUUAAGGGCAAUAUAAAUACACAGCACCUUGGGAUACAAUGAUAUAUGAUCACAGCAUGAAGGUCAUUUUUAUUGCAUUCUUACUUUUGGCUUCCAUGGCCUCUCUACUCUCUUCAACUACUUUAGCAGUUCCAGAGGUUCAACUCAUCAAAGAUGAAAGUGAUGAGAGAGGAUAUAGAGGAACAAAAGGAGCACAUGUUGGAAGUGAUCCGCAAAGAUAUAUAAAAACUCCACCUCCACUUCGUCGUCCUCCUUCUCAUCUCUAAAUAGAGAGUAGUAUGUAAUGUUUAUAUUAUUGGAAACAUUUCAAGUGUACUAGAAAUAUAGGUACUCUAAUUAUUUUAACCGUUGAUUUGAAUUAUAAAAAAUAUAUAUAAUAUAUAUUAAUUGAAAUCAACAGUUAAAAUGAUUGGUGUACCAGUAUUUCUCAGUGUACUUAAAAUGUUUCCUAUAUUAUUAUGUGUGUUACUAGCUAGGAGUAAUAAUGCUAGCUAUAUCAUCCAUCCCAAUUUCCAUCUAUGUUUUUGUGUUACUAGCUAGCUAGUACUGUAAGCGUGUUACUUUUCAGUUUGUAACGGUGUUUGUGAAAUAAAUUAAAGCAUAUAUGAGCUUUCAUUUUCAGGGGAAUA